rnacentral:lncRNA from 1 species
GAGAGUAAAGGGUGAGAAGUAAAAGUUUAGGGGAAAAAUAAAAAGUUUUGGGGAAUAAAAGUUUGAGGGAAAGUAAAUAGGGGGAGUAAAAUUUUGGAGGGAAAAUAUUAAAAAAAAAUUGGAGGGGGGAGGGUUUGGGAUAGAUGGGAGGUGAGAUGGGAAGGGAAUAAAAGUUUUAGGGGAAAAGUGGGAGGGAGUAAAAAUUUUGGGGGAAAAUAAAAGGUUUUGAGGGUUUUUGGGAGUAAAAUUUUGAGAAAAAAUAAAUGGGAGAGUAAAAUUUUGGUGGGAAAUAGAUUUUGGGUAGAUUGGGGGGUUAGGAGGGGAGGGGAGUAAAAGUUUUGGGGGGAAAGUGGGAAGGAGUAAAAGUUUUGAGGGAAAAAUAAAAAGGUUUGGGACUUUGGGGUAAAAAUGUAAAAUAUUAUAGUUUGAUAUUCGAAUUAUUCGAAUUAUUCGAAUUAUUCGAG